GGUGUCCCUUCCGCACGUCACAUCCUCAGCCCGCCGGUCAUACGGGAGCCGCGUGGGCUUUUUACGGAAGGACGUGCGGGUCCCUCUUCACCCGCCCCGCGCUCCUUCCCCCCGCGAGGGGCGGCGCCAGUGAGCGCGGCCCGGGAGCGCGGGUGUCACCUCCAGCGCCCGGCGCGCCACCCGUCCUCACCCCUCCCUCCCGGCGGGCCCCGAGUCCCAGGAGCCCCGUGCAGGGCCCCUCCCCCUCGAGCAGGUGGUCGGCCCCGCAAAAGCCAGUCGGCCGACGGACAAGUCGGUGCAAAUUCAGGGAACGUUGUUAAACUAUUGGGUUUUUUCCCCCCAGUUUCAGGCACUGAACAGCCAGCAGAUUUAAGAAAUCUGGAUGACGAUGUGGAUACAGGAUUUGAUGAAAUUCUGGUCCGAGAGAUGUUGGAGCCAAAUAAAUCAUCAUUUCUUGAAACACAAAGACUCCCACCAACAUCAACAAAGACUCCGACAAAGAAAAAAAGCAAGUACACAUUUCUUAAAGCCUAAUUACAUGUGUUCCUAGAGGUCUGUGGUACAUAUGCACAAUCCCAUCAUGGUCGCAUUCUUUGAGGCCAGCUACUUCUGGGGCAAAAGCAGAUGGAGAUGUGGAUGAAACAGUCGUCCCAAACAUCUGCUGUAAUCUUCCCUAGACUGGGGAGGUCACACCUAGACAGGCAGAGACAAGUCCCUUUAUCCCGGCUGGUCUCUGGGUGCACGUGCAAGAAGGGCCUCGUGCUUGGGAUGCAGGUGGGGUUUAGCCACUGCGGGAACCCGGGGCGUACGGAAAUAGGAGCUUUCGACCACCCAGCACGUUUGAUGCUCACCUAAACCUCUGAGAGCAGGGCAGUGACUACGACCCCAUCCGACAGGGGAUAAAAGUAAGGUCUGGAAGAGGACUGGCCCGAGGCCCCAGAGCUAGUAGUGAACAAAACAAUGUGCUUUCCCAAAGUGCAGCUUCCUGUGGUCCAAAUGCAUACAGAUAAGUCAAAUAGCACCCUGAGACCCAAGACGGAGCAUUUGACCCUUGCUCAGGAGAGAGCAGCAUGGCAGAAAUCUACACGCAGCGCGUGAAAACGCAUUCAGCAGCAGGGACGUUCAGCAUUUUCUUGAAAUUUUACAUCCAGAUGGAAGUUCCAAUAGCUCAUGGAACAUCUGCUAAACAGCUGGGUUCAAGGAGGUCAGAUGAAGCCUGACUGUUUACAUACUAGGUGGCCAGAGCACGUUUUCAGUAGAAGUUGAAAACUGUGUUAGCAUCCCAAGCUAAUGCUUUAAAGUACAGUAUGGAUGAAAACUUUCGCGGGAGUGUACAUUUAUGUUUUCCCUCAUUUUUUUCCCAUGCUGUUCAUCAAAGAUGCAGACCUUGAUGAGAGCUAUCAAGUUGGUGGUCCUGAGGGCUACCGUGAGCUCUCAGAUAUUUCAUCAUUAUCUCCGGACCCUGAGGACGAAAUUCUCAAUAACGGCUCCGGACCCGCAGACUCAGCGGCCAUGGCUCACGGGCCCAGCUGCUCCGCGGCAUGUGGGAUCCUCCUGGACCGGGGCACGAACCCGUGUCCCCUGCAUCAGCAGGCGGACUCUCAACCACUGCGCCACCAGGGAAGCCCCUCCAGGGUAAAUUCUUAGAACUGGGAUGGCGGGAUCAAAAAAUGAGUGACUAUGUAAUCUGAAUAGUCAGAUAAUUCUAUAUUUACACAAUAACUUUCCAAAAUGCUUUCCAAUAAAAUUUGAAAAUAACAUGAGUGUUUCAACCCAGCCUUUUAAAAUAAAGUGUGAGCUGAAAUGUUCAUAAGUAUGUAAUCAAAUGCUCCCCCAUGUUUUCUAUGUUCUUCAUCCAAGAACCCCAAAUUGAUGAGAGUUACCAAGUCUGUGGUCCCGAGGUUUACCAUGGAUCACAGCUCUCCUCUGGCCUUGAAGACAGGUCUUGCAACAAUGGUAAAUGUAACCUGGUGACUACCCCGGCCGGCAUCCGCGUGCAGUGGAGGGACGGGGCGUGGGCAUCGAGCAUGGCUGGGACAGCAGCCUCACCCUCAGUGUGUGCUCACACUUGUAAAUUAUCACCAAUCUGAUGGGGGAGGAGGGUGUUUCUGUCUUGUUUUAAUUUGCAAUUUUCUAAUUAUGAGUGAGUCUGAACAUCUCAUAUUUUAAAGGCCAUUUCUUUUAUCAUUUCAAAAUCUUUCCUUUUAUCCUUUCCCUUCAGUCUUUUUUCAAGGCUUAUUUUUAAAAUAUAGUUGGAAACAUACAACAUAAAUUCUGUACCUUGCUUCUUUAUGUAAUAUGAUAAUGAUUUUCUUUUUUUCUUCCAGUUUUAUUGAGAUAGAAUUGAUACGCAGCACUGUGUACGUUUCAGGUGUAGAGCAUGAUGACUUGAGUUACAUACAUCACGAAAUAAUGAUCACAAUAAUUUCACUGAACAUCAUCUCAUUUAGAUACAAAAUUAAAGGAAUAGGAAAAUAUAAUUUUCCUUGCGAUGAGGACUCAGGACUUAUUGUCUUCACAACUUUCAUACAUAACUUGCAGCAGGGUUAAUUACAUUUAUCAUGUCGUACAUUACAUCCCUAGUACUAAUUUAGCUUAUGACUGAAAGUUUUUACCAUUUGACCACCUUCACCCCAUUCCCCUCCUCCUUAGCCCUGGUAACCACAGGUCUGAUCUCUUUAUCUAUGAGUUUGUUUGUUUGUUUUUGAACUAUAAUUGACCUACAACACUACGUUAGUUCCUGUUACACAACACAGUGAAUCAGUAUUUCUAUACCUUUCAAAAUGAUCGUCACAAUAAGUCUAGUUAUGAUCUGUCACCACACAAAGGUAUUACAUAAUCGUUGACUAUAUUCCCCACACUGUACAUUUCAUACCUGUUACUCAUUUAGUUUGCAACUGGAAGUUUCUACCUCUUAAUCUUCCUCAACUAUUUCUUUUUUCUUAUUAUUGAAGUAUAGUUGAUCUACAAUGUUGUGUUAGUUUAUGGUGUACAGCAAAGUGAUUCAUUUAGAUAGCUAGCUAGCUAGCUAACUAAAUAAAUAAAUAGAUAUACAUAUAUAUAUAUUCAUUUUCAGAUUCUUUUCCAUUAUAGGUUAUUACAAGAUAUUGAAUAUAGUUCCCUGUGCUGUACAGUAGGUCCUUGUUGUUUAUCUAUUUUAUACACAGUGGUGCAUAUCUGUUAAUCACAAACUCCUUAUUUAUCCCUCCCCCUCCCUUUCCCCUUUGUUAACCAUAAGUUUGUUUUCUAUGUCUGGGAGUCUGUUUCUGUUUUGUAAAUAAGUUCGUUUGUAUCAUUUUUUUUAGAUUCCACAUACAAGCGAUAUCAUAUUUUUCUCUGACUUACUUCACUCAGUAUGAUAAUUUCUAGGUCCAUCCACGUUGCUGCAAAUGGCAUUAUUUCAUUCUUUUUUAUGGCUGAGUAAUAUUCCAUGUAUAUAUGUACCACAUCUUCUUUAUCCAUUCCUCUGUCCAGUGGACAUUUAGGUUGCUGCCAUGUCUUGGCUAUUGUCAAUAGUGCUGCAAUGAAUAUAGGGGUGCGUGUGCCUUCUCAAACUGGAGUUUUCUCCAAAUACAUGCCCAGGUGUGGGAUUGCUGGAUCAUUUGGUAGCUCUAUUUUUAGUUUUUCAAAGAACCUCCAUACUAUUCUCCACAGUGGCUGCUGUAAUAUUUAUGAACCUUGGAUCUGACUGCCUCCAGGUUGGUAAUACUUCUACAGGUAGUCAUCAUCCUCAAUAACCCCUGCUGGCAUUCAUGUAAAGUAAGUGCCCAGGAGAAGCAAGGAUCUAGGUGUUUAAAUCCUGACAGUGAGAGAAUGUUCUAAUUUCAUUCUUUUCCAUGUAGCUGUCCAGUUUUCCCAGCACCACUUAUUAAAGACAUUGUCUUUUCUCCAUUGUGUAUUCUUGCCUGCUUUGUUGUAGAUCAACUGACCAUAGGUGUGAGGGUUUAUUUCUGGGCUCUGUCCUCUCUUCCAUUGAUCUUUGUGCCUGUUUUCAUGCGAAUACCAUACUGCUUUGAUUACUGUAGCUUUGUAGUAUAGUCUGAAGUCUGGGAGGAUUAUGCCUCCAGCUUUGUUCUUUUCCCUCAGGAUUGCUUCGGCAAUUCUGGGUCUUUUGUGGUUCCAUAUGAAUUUUAGGGUUAUUUGUUCUAGUUCUGUGAAAAAAUGUCAUGGGUAAUUUGGUAGGGAUUGAGUUAAAUCUGUAGAUUGCUUUGGGUAGUAUGUCCAUUUUAACUAUAUUAAUUCUUCCAAUCCAAGAGCAUGCGAUAUCUUUCCAUUUCUUUGAAUCAGCUUCAGUUUCCUUUAUCAGUGUUUCAUAGUGCUCAACAUAUGUCUUUCACCUCCUUUCCUUUAUUUUCAAUCAUUCAGCAUCACUUUAAGUAUACAGCAUACUACAUACACUUGGAUCUUGCUUUCUAAGGAGUAUUGCCAAAAAGAAAACAAUUUAAUGCAUGAGUUAAGCCUGCAUACACUGUAAAAUCCUAAGAGUUUCGCACUGAUAGAAUUUUGUUUUAAAACAAACUGAUAACUAUGGGGUAAAUCCAAACAAGGAUCCCUGGGUGAAACAACAAUCAUGAAGCAAUUCCUGCCUCAUCAUCGUCAUGCAGCCGUGAGUGCUGGUGACCCCUCUUGCAGGUGCUGGUCGCCCCCCAGCCUCAAACAGACGUUCCUCCUCCCCAGCCAAACCAUCCGGGCAAGUUUCACUGCCUCUGCCUGAUGAGGAGUUGGUGGGAAAUGCUCCCCCAUCUCCACCGCCACCACGUUAAUACUUGUUCAGUCUUUUUCGCUGCACGCAUGUGGUGUCUCCUAUUUGCUGAUCAGGCAUUGAUCCCCUCCUUUUGCUCUGCAGGCAUCCAUUUUUUAUUUUUCAGGGCGUCUAGGGUGAUGGGAUAGCAGGGCCAGGAGGGGUCGGGAUGACCCACCAGGACCUGCUAGUUUCCAGGAAAGAAUGGAUCGGCAGAAGGGCUACACAGCCAGUCGGUGGCUGGUGACGUCCUGUUAGAGGUUCAGCCCAUUUAAUUAAAGGGAAACGGCGUCGUGAAGCCCAAACCUGCAGGGUAGGUGUCUGCAGACUCUGAAUGAAUGAACGGGCAGAUGAAUGACUGAAGUGUCCCAGCUGGAAGGGAACACUGAGCCCUGGAGCUCAUCUGAGCAGAGGACCGGCUUCUACAGGCAUGUGUUUUAUUAACACGGAGAAGAGGCGAAGUCCCAUCGUGAUCUAGUAACUUCACAAGCAGCUCAGAUGCAACCUGACAAGAGUUUCUGCUGUGGCCGAAGGGGCGGGUUCUGGGGUCCGCAGGCAAAUCCACCGAGGGCCUCGCCGAGGUGCUCACUGACCUGUCAGGAUCAGGCCAGGAAACCGUGCCAGAGAGAGAUCCUGUGGUCACGGAAGAACUGGACUGGAAAAACAGGGGCGAACAAGUUAAAGGAAUACUCCUCCGUGUUCACUGAAGGCAAAGGGCAAAGAAAAGGUCUGGCAGAAACAGAGGGAAGAUCAGACAACAGCACGGCUAUAGCUGGAGAGGAACCCGUCUCCGUGCUGGGGGUUAGGACACAGCUGGUCCCUUCAGCCCCGCCUGGUGGGCUGACACCUUUCCACGGGAAGCGGGGCUCCACCAGGCCAGUGGUUUCCAAGCCACUGAGUGGGUCCUGGAAUCAAUUCAUUGGGUUGGCACCA